GACGACGCUGGCGGCGUGCCUAACACAUGCAAGUCGAGCGAAUGAAGUUCCUUCGGGAACGGAUUUAGCGGCGGACGGGUGAGUAACACGUGGGCAACCUGGCUCAUAGAGGGGAAUAGCCUUCCGAAAGGGAGAUUAAUACCGCAUAAGAUUGUAGUACCGCAUGGUACAGCAAUUAAAGGAGCAAUCCGCUAUGAGAUGGGCCCGCGGCGCAUUAGCUAGUUGGUGAGGUAACGGCUCACCAAGGCGACGAUGCGUAGCCGACCUGAGAGGGUGAUCGGCCACAUUGGGACUGAGACACGGCCCAGACUCCUACGGGAGGCAGCAGUGGGGAAUAUUGCACAAUGGGGGAAACCCUGAUGCAGCAACGCCGCGUGAGUGAUGACGGCCUUCGGGUUGUAAAGCUCUGUCUUCAGGGACGAUAAUGACGGUACCUGAGGAGGAAGCCACGGCUAACUACGUG
rnacentral:rRNA from 1 species